GACGUAAGUGGCAAGCGUUGUUCGGAAUUACUGGGCAUAAAGGGAGCGUAGGCGGUCGGGUAAGUCAGGGGUGAAAUCCCUCGGCUCAACUGAGGAACAGCCUUUGAUACUGCUCGGCUCGAGGGUGGGAGGGGAGUGCGGAACUCUUGGUGGAGCGGUGAAAUGCGUUGAUAUCAAGAGGAACGCCAGUGGCGAAAGCGGCACUCUGGUCCACUUCUGACGCUGAGGCUCGAAAGCUAGGGGAGCAAACGGG
rnacentral:rRNA from 1 species